GGGUACAAUCAUACUAGAGUUAAUGCACCCAAUCCCAUCAGAAUUCCGCAGUGAAGCGCACUUGGGUUGGAGUAGUACUGGGAUGGGUGACCUCCCGAGAAGUUCUAGUGUUGCACCCU
rfam:Picea glauca, whole genome shotgun sequence.